rnacentral:rRNA from 1 species
UGGGGAAUCUUAGACAAUGGGGGAAACCCUGAUCUAGCCAUGCCGCGUGAGUGACGAAGGCCCUAGGGUCGUAAAGCUCUGUUGUUAGGGACGAAGGGCGAAGGGUUAAUAGCCCUUAGCCUGACGGUACCUUUCGAGGAAGCCCCGGCUAACUACGUGCCAGCAGCCGCGGUAAUACGUAGGGGGCGAGCGUUGUCCGGAAUUAUUGGGCGUAAAGAGCGUGUAGGCGGCUUGGUAAGUCUGCUGUGAAACCUUGGGGCUCAACCCCAAGCGUGCAGUGGAUACUGUCAAGCUAGAGGAUGGUAGAGGCCAGUGGAAUUCCCAGUGUAGCGGUGAAAUGCGCAGAUAUUGGGAGGAACACCAGUAGCGAAGGCGGCUGGCUGGGCCAUUCCUGACGCUGAGACGCGAAAGCUAGGGGAGCAAACAGGAUUAGAUACCCGCGUAGUCC